UGAAAUUAGCACAAUCCAAUCGAAUGCCUGGCAAUCGCAGAUCAUUUACACUUGAGCAGUUCUCCAAGAAGCCGUUCGCCAGCUGGCUACGUGCCAGCCUGCCAGGAGGCUGUAUCGUAAUGGGUAGAACAGCAAUGGGUGGUGCUAUAGCUGAUGGUGUGGUAGGUGGCGUGGCUGGGUCCUGGACUCUGGCUCUGGAUCCGACUUUGACUCUGACUCUCGCUCUGCUCUCGAUUCGUUCAAGUUUCGGCCUCGUUCGAAAUUAACGCAAAUGUAUGCAAGCAAAGUUUGUCGUUUUCGCUCACGUAGACAAAACUUGGGGGACGUGCAGUUUGGCCAAACUAAAUGUGCUUAUUGAAUUCGCUCAUCGUUAACUAUGAAUAUUUUACAAAGAAUGGAGGAAAAAACUAUUUGGCAAAUGAAUUUCACCUCCUCCAAACUUUUCUAUGGAAAUCAAUAUUCCCUCAAUUAUUGCAGAUAAUUAAAACUAUUUUUCUACGUUCUCUAA